GCGCUUGCGCGCUUGGCGGGGCGCGGGUACGUGGUUCAGUGACUCCUUCCGGGGGCUGUUGCUGUGAGAAAACCGUAGUUGCGGUAUUAAGAGUCAGGGCUCUGCGACAGGUUCCACAUAGAGGACCAACCGGCAACUCCAACCAGCCCCGUUGGGUUGGGUCGUCCCCGCCUACUCUGGCGCCUCCGUAGCGACGCCCUCGGCGUAAAGCCCGCCCACUGCACGCGCUGAGCCACCACUUCCGCCCUCGCCUUCCACUGAGCAAGAUGGCUGAGGAGCCGGAGUCUGCGCUGCAGCUCCCUCCCUCAAGUACUACUGAUGGCGAAGGACCUACGGAGGUCUCCCCAGAAACAGCCACUCCGGAGCCUCCUUCUUCCGCUGCAGUCUCCCCGGGAACAGAGGAACCUGCCAGCGACACCAAGAAAAAAAUUGAUGUCCUCUUGAAGGCUGUGGGAGACACCCCUAUAAUGAAAACAAAGAAGUGGGCUGUAGAGCGAACCCGAACCAUUCAAGGACUCAUUGACUUCAUCAAAAAGUUCCUUAAGCUUGUGGCCUCUGAACAGUUGUCCCGUGAAGCACAAGUACUGUUAUUUUCCACAUUUGCAGAUAAAGAAGCAGGUUUAUUUAUGUGAAUCAGUCCUUUGCUCCCUCCCCAGACCAGGAGGUUGGAACCCUCUAUGAGUGUUUUGGCAGUGAUGGUAAACUGGUCCUACAUUACUGCAAAUCUCAGGCCUGGGGAUGAAGUACAGAGAAAAAGAUCUUGCUACCCAAAUGAAUCUUCACAAAGGAAACAGCCUUGGAAAAAGUUUUGAUACUUGUGACAAGAGACUUGUGUAUGUGAUCUAGUUAGCAUGUAUCUACCAUGACUUCUGUUUAUGACUAAGGAAAUCCAUAGAGUAGAUGGGCUCACAAAAAUGUGAUUUGUAUUAAUACAUAAAUCAUCAUAGAAGAUUGACUUUAGAGUAUACCCAUUACUACAGCUCUUGCUCCAAAUCUGCCUCCAGUGUGUUGAAAAGGAGACUAAGACUGUAGAAAACUUCUUCGUUACCAGUUCUCAGUGACUGAAAUUGUUUACUUGUCGAAUGAACACUCUGCUGAUUUUUUCCACUGUAAAAGGCAGUUUACUAAGGGAUUCUUUUUGUGUGCAUUCAGGGAAGUUCAGUUUGAGGUAUGGGUUAUGCCUUUUCUCAUGUGCAUUUAGACCUACGGUGUUAAGAAGUAGGAACAGAGACUGGCUGGCUUUAUAUCUCACAUGGUCCAGUAGGUGGCAGCCUAGCUGGCAGAAAGAUUUCAGCAGUUUGGUUUUACAUUUUUUCCGGAUGAUAAUGGAGGGAAAAAGCGUCUCCUGCUACUUUGUAGCAAACAUCUAGCCGAGAGAGCAGGCAUGUUGACACAUUGGAAAGCUGCUUUAGAGAAUGUGCGUGGUUUACAAUUAUUUUAGUGGGAAACGUAAGGAAUUUUACAAAUUCUGGACAACUGAGCAUACAGCACUUCAGUCCUAUCAUUUAAGGAGUGUGAGUCCUAAUGGUUGUAACUGUGGUGUCAUUUUGUGUCUUAUUUUUACAAUGUCAAAAGCAUUUAAUGAGUAAAGCCAGGAACAUCUUUGAGUUUUUUACAAUCCAUUUUCUACCCUGAAAAUGCUCAAAGAAUAAUGGAUAGCCUUAGGUUUUUUGUGUAUUUCAUUCUAUGACUAAAAGUACUAUUUUUCCUGAUGCUGUAAGACUGGUAAUUGCUUACAGGUGAGAUUCUGUAUUUUAUCAUUCUGUACUAUAAUGGUAAUGCAGCAUUUCAAAAAAGCAUUCCAAUAAAUGGAUUGGAAUGUUCAAACAGGAGCUAAUACAUGGAUGAGAAUUCUGAGUGUUUAUUUUCAAAGGUAAUUAUGAUUUCGUCAAAAGACUUUGAACUACACUUUUGUCCCUUAAAUCCCACAAUGUACUUUAUGGUUAAUGAUCUGCCAUAUGUUAGCAUCAGGGUAUGCUAAGGAACAAUUCAGUUUACAGUGAUGCAAUCACUCUUCAGUACUCAUUUUUCUGCCCAAGAAUGAAUUCUUAAGUCUCCUUAUACUGAUGGCCCUGUGUACUAAAUUAAUAUAGCUAGGAGUUAGCGCUGGAAUAAUACAGGGUGAAUUAUGCAAAUUUAUCUUGUAAGACUGGGGAAGAAAUUUAUAUAUAUGUUGAAAGCUGGGAAGGGUAUUAUUUUUGAGUCAAGUUGGAUAUGGAAAAGAUCUAUUCUCUAGCUUUAUCCACUUAUAGUUACUGAAGGGUGUGGAUAUAUUUAUUUAUAUGCGUGUGUGUAGCAAAAAUGUGUUUAAAUUACAUUAAAUUUGCCAUUGAGGUUUCGGAUAGAAUAUUUACUACCUCAGCAUUCAAAACUGCUUGAGUUUGACUUUGUAACAUCAACUUAAUUAUUCUUUUUUGAUCUAAAUGACAAAUCUAAGGUUAGCUAAAUAUA